AUUUCAAAGGGGCCGGAUCCGGCCUGCGGGCUGUAGUUUGCCCACGGCUGGCUAGGCACUGGUCCCUGUUGCCUCAUCUGUUAGGGUAGUUACCAGUGUAACCCCCUCAAAGUAUGGGCCACUGAUCUGUAGCCUCGGCUUCCUGGAUCAUGUUAGAAUGCAAAAUCUCAGGCCCCUCCUCAGAGUCAGAGCCUCUGGGGUGGCCCCUGAAAUCCCCCUCGCUAGGGGAUUUUUUGCUCACUGAAGUUUGAGGAUCCCUGGGGUGAGCUAUCAGAAAUCUUCACAGACCUGGCUCCACAGAUCCUCCUGGGUGCCAAUGGGCUGGGCCUCACUUUUAUAGGCACCUGCAGGGUUCUGGGGAAACAUGUUCCCGGCUGCCCGUUAGAGUUUAGAAACGGCUAUGGUGUGAAUGUUUGUGUCUUCCCAAAUGCAUCUGGUGAAACCCUAAUCCCGAAAGGUGAUGGUACGAGAAGGUGGGCCUUUGGGGAGGUGCUUCAUCUUGAGGGUAGAGCCUCGUGAGUGGGAUUAGUACUUUCACAAAUGAGGCCCCACAGAGCUUCCUACCCCCUCUCCUCUGGAUGACACAGUGAGGAGUCUGCAUCCUGGAAGAGCGUGCUCACCGGACCCUGCUGGCACCCUGACCUUGGAUGUCCAGCCUCCAAAACUGCAAUGGCGAGCCGUUGGGCAUCUAAAGAGGAAAGGGCUGUGUUCAGAGCAGCACCGGAGGAAGGUGUAGUGGGCGGCCAAGUUUCAGAAGAAUUGAGGAGAAAAGAAUCCAGGUAGCACCAAUCUGCUUGCCUAAGGCUGUCCUCACUCCCUCCAGCGGGCUAAGAGAGUUCUCCUUUCGGCAAACUCCCUCUAUAACUUGGCAUUCUCAGGCCUCUACAUUUCUGCCAACCACAUGGAUGUGAAUCAACAUUUCAUUGUAAUAUUAACUUGCGUUUCCCUGAGGACCCAGCCCAUGGCAGAAAGGCUUGUGCCAGCAUGGACACACACAAGACUGAGUCUCCUGCCCAGGAGUGCUGGUUCCUGAGACAGAAGAGUCUUUGUGAAGAAGGGAGAAGAAGAACCCUGAUGCCUCCUGUGGGCUCCAGGCGGAGGAAGGAGGGAUGCCUGGCACUGAGGGGAGGCAGGGCCUGGACUGGAGCCUCCAAGGUGCGGCGAGAGGCUUUCUAGAUUUCUGAGGCUUCUGGGGCGAAGGGGCUGGGUCCCCUGGAAGGGGAGAGAGAAAGCAGGAAGAGGGCCUUUCUCCUCUCACUGUCCUGAGGGGACCCGGCAGGCUCUGCCCCCGCCUUCUUUCUAGAAUGUGGGAGGUACUUGAGGGCACCCCAGAAAGUUGAGGCUACGGCAUAGAUAUGGAACAGAUAACAGUGGAAGUAGAGAAAGAUUGUCUUUUAAGUCUCUUUCAAUACUUCUAAUUGUAUCUGGGGGAAAGACUCCCUUUGGUCUAACCCAGCGGUUCUCAACCUGUGGGUCUCGACCCCUUUGGCGGUCGAACGACCCUUUCACAGGGGUCACCUAAGACCAUCCUGCAUAUCAGAUAUUUACAUUACGAUUCAUAACAGUAGCAACAUUACAGUUAUGAAGUAGCAGCGAAAAGAAUUUUAUGGUUGGGUCACAACAUGAGGAACUGUAUUUAAAGGGCCAGAAGGUUGAGAACCACUGGUCUAACCCGUCAACCCUGUGGAAUGCUUGCUAAUCCCCCCCUUUUAACUCUGAGAGACUGGGCCUGAGGCUUUGGAGACCUGGGAGCUGGGGUAUCUGACUAGAUAUUUAAUAACGUUGCUUUGUUUGUGUUGUAUUUGCUUGUUGGGGGUUGCCUUCUAUUCUGACAAGUGAUGGCAGUUUGCUAUUAGUGAUGCUAAUAGAAAGUUUCCUUUUAAUACAUGUAUUUGAGCAAAAGAAAGCCGCCGUAUGUGUGUAAGAUCACAUUUAUGUGAACAUCUGGAUAAAGAGAUGUAGAAAAGGAGGGUCAGCAGAAUGUUGAUGGCAGUCAGAUCCCGGUGAUUUUUGUCUUCCUUAUGCUUUUUUUUGGUAUUGUUUGCAUUUUUUCAAUGAGCAUACGUUAUUUAAAAUAUCAGAAAAUAACUACUUUUGUUAUGGAGAAAGAUACAUAUGUUUAAAGGAACAUACUAAAUACAUAAUAAUGCAAGGAAUAUAUUAUAUGGCUUUAGCAACAUGGUUGACUUGGCCUGGGUGACUUUGUGCUGGGAGACUAUGAGGACCGGCCCAGGCAAACAGCCAGGACGGCCUACCUGUCACGGGAAAUUUGGGCACCUACUUACUGCUGGGGGCUGGGCCUUGUCUUUUCAGCCCUGUCCAGAGGAUUUCAUUUCAGUGUCUCACUGACAACUUUUGAACCAGGUAAAAGCAUUGAUCGGUUGAUGAGCUGGGACUGAGUUUCUGUGGUGUGUUAGACCAGGGGUCCUCAAACUUUUUAAACAGGGGGCCAGUUCACCGUCCCUCAGACCGUUGGAGGGCCGGACUAUAGUUUUAAAAAAAAACUAUGAACAAAUUCCUAUGCACACUGCACAUAUCUUAUUUUGAAGUAAAAAAACAAAACGGGAACAAAUACAAUAUUUGUAUUUGUGUGUGGCCCGCGGGCCGUAGUUUGAGGACCCCUGUGUUAGACCUUUGCGUUGCCUGCAUUUAGAUGCCUCAGGUUGGGGUGGACAAAGGGAAUUUGGCCAGGGUCUCGAUUUCUCUUCCUGGUGCUGUCCUAUGAAUGGUCUUGUUGUAGAAGACCGAAAAAACCCAAGCACCCCUUAGAGAAAUGGAGAUACACAGCUUUAUUAUGCCGGCGGUCUCAGAGGAGUUGCUUCCAAAGUCUGAGCAAACCAAUAUGGUGGAAGCUCUUCUUUUAUCCCCUUUGGUUUCUUUGUCCCCCAAAUAUGGAUGGGACUUCCAGACCUUUCCUGGGCUUUGCAAAAAGCCCUGUGUGUUGGGAUGGGGUCCUUGAGACCAUAUCUAAGGGCUUGGCCUGGUGCCAGCGCCGAUAACCUCCUCUGGGGGUUGUGUAUUGUUCGUGGUUUAUGGCCGCUGUAAAAUGUGAGCAUUUAGGUAACAGGUCUUGCAAGACCAGAUUGUGGAGAAAGGGGCAGUGACUUAAUUAUAGGUUAUCAAGAAUGUACAUUAGGUUACUGGCACAGAUUCAGAUUGCUAGCCUCCAAAACAUCAGGGUUACAUUGGAGUUAGCCUUUUAGCCUUCUCAGUCUGUUGUUCUAGAGCUGAACAGCCUUCUCCGUGUAGGCUGUUCGCCUGUCUGCGGAGUGACCACUAUUUGGCUCUCUUCCCAAAGAGUCCUGGCAGCUAGUGCCAGUUCGCUCCUCCGCAAUGUAGGGCGUCAUUUAACAGGAGCCCCUGGGGCGAAGGAUUCCUCCUGUGUAGCCACCGGAAUCCUCCGUUCACCGUUCACCGCCCUCAGGAAAAGGCUUUUUCAGAUCACACCCUGAAUGACUAUUUAAUCUUUAAUGGGGCCAACACGUCCAGACAGAACAAGGAGCAGACAGUGACUCCGGCUCUUCCUUGGGGAUUUACCGGGCUUCAUGGUCUGACUGCUGUGCUGUGUGUCUGAUUAUGGGGUGGAUGGGGAUUGAGUCCACAGUAUCUUCCAUCAUGAGAUAAUACAGGACCAUGUUGUCGCUAAUCCAUAGGCACAAGACAGCCACAGGCCCUGCCCUCCUGGGGUGGCAGUCAGUCUGAUGGAGGAGGCAGACUAAUAAGGGCAGGUGUGAAGAGGGUUUGCUGCAGCACGUAGCAGUGGUCACUGAAGGGGGGUUGAGAGGGGUGUCUGAACAGAAGACUUAGAAUGAGACACUGCGGGGGAGGGGAAAAUUUCCCCUUUUAGUUAUUCUGGCUGGCCUAAUAAUCAAAUGGACAUGAGACAGAUCAACAGGAGAAGAUGAUCAAAUGUAGUUAUGUAUGUGCAUACAAGGGUUCCUGUAAGACAAGGGGACCCAAGGGCAAAUCUGACAGGUGAGGUUUCUAUGCCAUCUUGAGCCAAGGAGAAAGGGAGUAAUGGUUUAUAUUUCUAAGAGAAGGUAGGCAAUUCACAGAGAGAGAUGGGAAGGAACUAAAUAUUUGGUAAACAAAUUCUUGCAGGUCUACCCAGAAACAAUGGGACACAGAGGGGAGUCCAACAAACAGACUUCCUGGGUUCCUCCCUGUCUGCCACACUUAGUUUAUGUUAAAACAUAGUUGUCUGUGAUUAUAGCUCUCUUCCUGGAGCAGGUUCUCGGUCUAAAUUCCUUUAGGCAAUUUUUGGAGAAGGUCAAAGUUUCUUCCUGAGGCUUGUUUUUAAAAAAUAAACCAUCUUAAAAUAAACAGUAUUCCCAAAAAAAGGGCAUAUUUGAGGUGGGAAACCUCUCCUCCCCUUCAACUCAAAGAAAGAAUUCACCAGAUGAGGAGAGGUGGGAAGGAGUGAUCCAGGGAGAGGGAACAGAAUAUGCCGAAACCCAGGUGCCAGAGGGACCCUGCUGUGUUCAGCUGGGAGAAGAAGAGAGAAUAAGCUGGGGAGAUGGGGAGGGCCCACAUCCUGUUGGACCUCCUAGGACAGGCGUUCUCAACUGAGGGCAGUUUUGACCCCCAGGAGCCUUUGGCAAGAUUGCUCAGUUGUCACAAAUGUGUUUUUGUGUGUGU